UACGGGGGGGGCAAGCGUUGUUCGGAAUUACUGGGCGUAAAGGGCUCGUAGGCGGCCAACUAAGUCAGACGUGAAAUCCCUAGGCUCAACCUAGGAACUGCGUCUGAUACUGGAUGGCUUGAAUCCGGGAGAGGGAUGCAGAAUUCCAGGUGUAGCGGUGAAAUGCGUAGAUAUCAGGAAGAACACCAAUGGCGAAAGCAGCUCUCUGGGACGGUACUGACGCUGAGACGCGAAAGCGUGGGGAGCGAACAGG
rnacentral:rRNA from 1 species